GACGAACGCUGGCGGCGUGCUUAACACAUGCAAGUCGAACGGAAAGGCCCUGCUUUUGUGGGGUGCUCGAGUGGCGAACGGGUGAGUAACACGUGAGUAACCUGCCCUUGACUUUGGGAUAACUUCAGGAAACUGGGGCUAAUACCGGAUAGGAGCUCCUGCUGCAUGGUGGGGGUUGGAAAGUUUCGGCGGUUGGGGAUGGACUCGCGGCUUAUCAGCUUGUUGGUGGGGUAGUGGCUUACCAAGGCUUUGACGGGUAGCCGGCCUGAGAGGGUGACCGGCCACAUUGGGACUGAGAUACGGCCCAGACUCCUACGGGAGGCAGCAGUGGGGAAUAUUGCACAAUGGGCGGAAGCCUGAUGCAGCAACGCCGCGUGCGGGAUGACGGCCUUCGGGUUGUAAACCGCUUUCGCCCGUGACGAAGCGUGAGUGACGGUAAUGGGUAAAGAAGCACCGGCUAACUACGUGCCAGCAGCCGCGGUGAUACGUAGGGUGCGAGCGUUGUCCGGAUUUAUUGGGCGUAAAGGGCUCGUAGGUGGUUGAUCGCGUCGGAAGUGUAAUCUUGGGGCUUAACCCUGAGCGUGCUUUCGAUACGGGUUGACUUGAGGAAGGUAGGGGAGAAUGGAAUUCCUGGUGGAGCGGUGGAAUGCGCAGAUAUCAGGAGGAACACCAGUGGCGAAGGCGGUUCUCUGGGCCUUUCCUGACGCUGAGGAGCGAAAGCGUGGGGAGCGAACAGGCUUAGAUACCCUGGUAGUCCACGCUGUAAACGGUGGGUACUAGGUGUGGGGUCCAUUCCACGGGUUCCGUGCCGUAGCUAACGCUUUAAGUACCCCGCCUGGGGAGUACGGCCGCAAGGCUAAAACUCAAAGGAAUUGACGGGGCCCCGCACAAGCGGCGGAGCAUGCGGAUUAAUUCGAUGCAACGCGUAGAACCUUACCUGGGUUUGACAUGGAUCGGGAGCGCUCAGAGAUGGGUGUGCCUCUUUUGGGGUCGGUUCACAGGUGGUGCAUGGCUGUCGUCAGCUCGUGUCGUGAGAUGUUGGGUUAAGUCCCGCAACGAGCGCAACCCUUGUUCACUGUUGCCAGCACGUUAUGGUGGGGACUCAGUGGAGACCGCCGGGGUCAACUCGGAGGAAGGUGGGGAUGACGUCAAGUCAUCAUGCCCCUUAUGUCCAGGGCUUCACGCAUGCUACAAUGGCUGGUACAGAGAGUGGCGAGCCUGUGAGGGUGAGCGAAUCUCGGAAAGCCGGUCUCAGUUCGGAUUGGGGUCUGCAACUCGACCUCACGAAGUCGGAGUCGCUAGUAAUCGCAGAUCAGCAACGCUGCGGUGAAUACGUUCCCGGG
rnacentral:rRNA from 1 species